rnacentral:rRNA from 1 species
GACGAACGCUGGCGGCGUGCUUAACACAUGCGAGUCGAACGGAAAGGCCCUGCUUUUGUGGGGUGCUCGAGUGGCGAAAGGGUGAGUAACACGUGAGUAACCUGCCCUUGACUUUGGGAUAACUUCAGGAAACUGGGGCUAAUACCGGAUAGGAGCUCCUGCUGCAUGGUGGGGGUUGGAAAGUUUCGGCGGUUGGGGAUGGACUCGCGGCUUAUCAGCUUGUUGGUGGGGUAGUGGCUUACCAAGGCUUUGACGGGUAGCCGGCCUGAGAGGGUGACCGGCCACAUUGGGACUGAGAUACGGCCCAGACUCCUACGGGAGGCAGCAGUGGGGAAUAUUGCACAAUGGGCGGAAGCCUGAUGCAGCAACGCCGCGUGCGGGAUGACGGCCUUCGGGUUGUAAACCGCUUUCGCCUGUGACGAAGCGUGAGUGGCGGUAAUGGGUAAAGAAGCACCGGCUAACUACGUG